AGCGAACGCUGGCGGAAUGCUUAACACAUGCAAGUCUCACGGGCAGCAAUGUCAGUGGCGGACGGGUGAGUAACGCGUAGGAAUGUGUCCUGUGGUGGGGGAUAACGUCGGGAAACUGGCGCUAAUACCGCAUAUGUCCUGAGGGGCAAAGCAGCAAUGCGCCAUUGGAGCAGCCUGCGUCCGAUUAGCUUGUUGGUGGGGUAAAGGCUUACCAAGGCGACGAUCGGUAGCUGGUCUGAGAGGAUGAUCAGCCACACUGGAACUGAGACACGGCCCAGACUCCUACGGGAGGCAGCAGUGGGGAAUAUUGGACAAUGGGCGAAAGCCUGAUCCAGCAAUUCCGCGUGGGUGAAGAAGGUCUUCGGAUUGUAAAGCCCUUUCGACGGGGACGAUGAUGACGGUACCCGUAGAAGAAGCCCCGGCUAACUUCGUGCCAGCAGCCGCUGUAAGAC
rnacentral:rRNA from 1 species